rnacentral:lncRNA from 1 species
AUGCCUUGCACCGCCGGGGUGCCAGUCGUCCCCCCCGCAAUGCGUCCCUCGYGCGAGCGUGCGAGGCCGUCACGUGGGCGCGUGCCUCCCUGGGCCCGGCCUCGCAGGAGAGCUUGCCUGGCCUCGCACAGCCGUGCCCACCCCCCCCGCGCCUCCCCCCGACUUCCUGCCCCACGGGCGGGCUGCCCGCAGCUUCCUGGAGGGGGUGGGGGCCCCGCGCGUGCGAGGACCGACCGGGGCUGCCAGGCAGCGCGAGGAGGAGGCAGAGCCGGACGUCGCCAGGGCCCAGGGGACCGGGCCUCCGGGCUGCCCCGACGUGUCCCCACAGGCCUAAUGGACGCGCUGUGGCCCUACGGGGUGCUCUGGGGCCUCCUCCUGCUUGUCCCGACCGUGCUGCUGGCUGCCCUCUGCGCCCGCUGCCGCGACCCCCAUGGCCAUGGUGCCCAGAUUGACAACUAUGAGUACAAGCCCCCACCCUGUGAGCCCCACAACAGCUUCAUGCUGCUGACACGGCCCAGGUGCCCCUCUCGCACCCCGAUCAAGCAGCAGCCGGUGACCUCAGCAGAGCUGUUCCUGUCCAUCCCGCGGUCCCCGCAAGCCCCUCAGAGCCGCAAGGUCUCCUUCACCCACCCGGAACCGGACAACGACAGCGUGCCCAGCUACGAGAACGAGGGUGAGGCGGGCGGCCAUCCCCGGGGUGCCUGGCCGCGGGCCCCGUCCCCUGCCCCCCCGGCGGCCCCCGAGAGCGAGGACGACUACAACAACGAGCUCUACGCCACCGGCUACGUGUGGGUGCCACCGCUGUGGGGGCCGGGGGGGCGGGGGCUGUCCCUGACAUCCCCCCCCGUCCCUGGUGUCACCCUGUGCCUUCCCCUCGCAGCGAGGUGCUCCCGGAUGGCACGGCCCAGCCCAACCCGCCCCAGCAACCCCAGGCCAGGGACAGCAGCUCCUCCGCGGCGCCUGGCGAGUACGAGAACGUCCCCGACGCCCACCGCCAGUCCCUGGCUGACAGCCUGGAGUACGUCAACGUCCCUGAGGCUGGGGCCAGCCCCACGCCCCGCUACACCAGCGAGAGCGAGGAGGACGCCCCAGACUACGAGAACCUGCAACACUGAGCACCAGGCGCCGCCGGCUGUCGCCCCGCGUUAGCGCCAGGACCGGUGGCUGGAGUCCCUCGGAACUGGCCGGGACACCCCUGUCCCUGUUAAUUUAUUGC